rnacentral:rRNA from 1 species
AGCUAAGGUGAGGCCGAAAGGCGUAGCCGAUGCACAGACGGUAGAGAUUCCGUCCCCACCGAAAGAUUUAAGCGCAGGGACACUUUUAGAAGGUCGGAGCCAGGUGUUGGUUCUGGUAGAGAUCGAGGGAAAUUUAGUACCGAAGUCCGGCUGGAUAAGAGGCGAGAAAAGCUGCGUGUAUAUCUAAGGUGCCCGUACCGCAAACCGACACAGGUAGGUAGGAAGAAGAUUCUAAGGCCAACGGGAGAAGGGUUGUUAAGGAACUCGGCAAGUUGACCCCGUAACUUCGGAAUAAGGGGUGCUCAUGAAAGUGAGCCGCAGAGAAUAGGCCCAGGCAACUGUUUACCAAAAACACAGGUUUGUGCUAAAUCGAAAGAUGACGUAUACGAGCUGACGCCUGCCCGGUGCUGGAAGGUUAAAAGGAGAUGUGCAAGCAUUGAAUUGAAGCCCCAGUGAACGGCGGCCGUAACUAUAACGGUCCUAAGGUAGCGAAAUUCCUUGUCAGGUAAGUUCUGACCCGCAUGAAAGGCGUAAUGAUCUGGGCACUGUCUCAACAGCCCGCCCGGCGAAAUUGUAGUACCGGUGAAGAUGCCGGUUACCCGCGACAAGACGGAAAGACCCCAUGGAGCUUUACUGUAGCCUAAUAUUGGGUUUCGGUGUUGCAUGCACAGGAUAGAUGGGACGCUAGGAAGUGAGUGCUUUGGCAUUCAUGGAGCGGCCGUUGGGAUACCAUCCUUGCGACAUUGGAAUUCUAACCUGCGCCUUUGAAUCAAGGCGGGGGACAUUGUUAGGUGGGCAGUUUGACUGGGGCGGUCGCCUCCUAAAGAGUAGCGGAGGCGUUCAAAGGUUGGCUCGUCCUGGACGGAAACCAGGAGAGAGAGUGCAAACGCAAAAGCCAGCCUGACUGCGAGACUGACGGGUCGAGCAGAGACGAAAGUCGGAGUUAGUGAUCCGGUGGUAUGUGAGUGGAAAUGCCAUCGCUCAACGGAUAAAAGUUACCCUGGGGAUAACAGGCUGAUCUCCCCCAAGAGUCCACAUCGACGGGGAGGUUUGGCACCUCGAUGUCGGCUCAUCGCAUCCUGGGGCUGUAUUCGGUCCCAAGGGUUUGGCUGUUCGCCAAUUAAAGCGGUACGCGAGCUGGGUUCAGAACGUCGUGAGACAGUUCGGUCCCUAUCUGUCGUGGGCGCAGGAUAUUUGAAAGGCGCUGUCCCUAGUACGAGAGGACCGGGAUGGACGAACCUCUGGUGCACCAGUUGUCACGCCAGUGGCACAGCUGGGCAGCUAUGUUCGGAUCGGAUAAACGCUGAAAGCAUCUAAGCGUGAAGCCGGCCUUAAGAUAAGAUAUCCCACUGAGAUAAUCAGGUAAGACCCCUUGAAGACUACAAGGUUGAUAGGCACAAUGUGUAAGUGGCGUGAGUCAUUGAGCAAGCGUGUACUAAUAGGUCGAGGGCUUGACCC